GCACCCAUAGCUCAGUUGGUCAGAGCAUCUCGUUUACACCGAGAGGGUCAGAGGUUCGAGUCCUCUUGGGUGCA
rnacentral:tRNA from 1 species